rnacentral:lncRNA from 1 species
CCCUGGGGAUCCCACAUCACCUCUCCUGCAAAUGCAACAAAACCAGUUCUCUGGCUGCUCAGUGAUGGUGGAGAGCUGCAUUUCCUUGUGUGGGAAGGAUAAACCUCUCCUAAACUCAGCCUGGGGGUCGCUGGCUCCAGGACUUGAGCUCCUGGGUGAGAGAAGGAUCCAGCUUGACCAAAGCCACAUGGACAGAGACAGCUGAUCACAUCACCCUGGAACAAAGCUCCUCUGGCAGUGCAGUGCAAGUGUGACAUCCUUCAUCUGCCCCCAGCUGCAUUUACUGGAGCGCAGUGAUGCUCUUCAGAUGCGCUCCAGGGCUCUCCUAAGUGGCACAUUCCUCCUGUGCCUGUUCCCU